rnacentral:rRNA from 5 species
AGACCCGAAACCCGGUGAUCUAGCCAUGGGCAGGUUGAAGGUUGGGUAACACUAACUGGAGGACCGAACCGACUAAUGUUGAAAAAUUAGCGGAUGACCUGUGGCUGGGGGUGAAAGGCCAAUCAAACCGGGAGAUAGCUGGUUCUCCCCGAAAGCUAUUUAGGUAGCGCCUCGUGAAUUCAUCUCCGGGGGUAGAGCACUGUUUCGGCUAGGGGGCCAUCCCGGCUUACCAACCCGAUGCAAACUGCGAAUACCGGAGAAUGUUAUCACGGGAGACACACGGCGGGUGCUAACGUCCGUCGUGAAGAGGGAAACAACCCAGACCGCCAGCUAAGGUCCCAAAGUCAUGGUUAAGUGGGAAACGAUGUGGGAAGGCCCAGACAGCCAGGAUGUUGGCUUAGAAGCAGCCAUCAUUUAAAGAAAGCGUAAUAGCUCACUGGUCGAGUCGGCCUGCGCGGAAGAUGUAACGGGGCUAAACCAUGCACCGAAGCUGCGGCAGCGAACGUAUCACCCAAGACAACUUUACGGAGUUGACGAUUGACGGAGCGAAGCGACGUCAAAGCGUUCAUUAAAGUCGAGUUGGCUUAGGGAUACGUUCGUUGGGUAGGGGAGCGUUCUGUAAGCCUGUGAAGGUGUGUCGUGAGGCAUGCUGGAGGUAUCAGAAGUGCGAAUGCUGACAUAAGUAACGAUAAAGCGGGUGAAAAGCCCGCUCGCCGGAAGACCAAGGGUUCCUGUCCAACGUUAAUCGGGGCAGGGUGAGUCGACCCCUAAGGCGAGGCCGAAAGGCGUAGUCGAUGGGAAACGGGUUAAUAUUCCCGUACUUGGUGUUACUGCGAAGGGGGGACGGAGAAGGCUAUGUUGGCCGGGCGACGGUUGUCCCGGUUUAAGCGUGUAGGUGUGUGUUCCAGGUAAAUCCGGUUCACUUUAACACUGAGGCGUGACGACGA